UACGAAGGGGGCUAGCGUUGUUCGGAAUCACUGGGCGUAAAGCGCACGUAGGCGGAUCUUUAAGUCAGAGGUGAAAGCCUGGAGCUCAACUCCAGAACUGCCUUUGAUACUGGGGAUCUCGAGUCCGGGAGAGGUGAGUGGAACUGCGAGUGUAGAGGUGAAAUUCGUAGAUAUUCGCAGGAACACCAAUAGCGAAGGCAGCUCGCUGGGACGGUACUGACGCUAAGGCGCGAAAGCGUGGGGAGCGAACAGG
rnacentral:rRNA from 1 species